AUUGAACGCUGGCGGCAGGCCUAACACAUGCAAGUCGAACGAGUGGCGGACGGGUGAGUAAUGUCUGGGCAACUGCCUGAUGGAGGGGGAUAACUACUGGAAACGGUAGCUAAUACCGCAUACCAUCGGAUGUGCCCACAUGGGAUUAGCUAGUAGGGGUGGGAAAGGCUCACCUAGGCGUCGAUCCCUAGCUGGUCUGAGAGGAUGAUCAGUCACACUGGAACUGAGACACGGUCCAGACUCCGACGGGAGGCAGCAGUGGGGAAUAUUGGACAAUGGGCGAAAGCCUGAUCCAGCCAUGCCGCGUGUGUGAAGAAGGUCUUCGGAUUGUAAAGCACUUUCAGUUGGGAGGCGUUACCAACAGAGUAAGCACCGGCUAACUUCGUGCCAGCAGCCGCGGUAAUUC
rnacentral:rRNA from 1 species